AUCACUGGUGUUCGGGUUGUCAUGCCAAUGGCAUUGCCCGGUAGCUAAAUGCGGAAAAGAUAAGCGCUGAAAGCAUCUAAGCGCGAAACUUGCCUCAAGAUGAGUCUUCCCUGGGGCUUCAAGCCCCCUGAAGGAACGUUAAAGACUAUGACGUUGAUAGGCUGGGUGUGUAAGUGCAGCGAUGCAUUGAGCUAACCAGUACUAAUGAUCCGUGAGGCUUAACCUUACAACACCGAAGGUGUUUUAG
rnacentral:rRNA from 1 species